CUGGCUCAGGGGCCAAGGGUCGGAGCGCUUCACCCGCCCGUACCCAGUAGCAGGUGGGGAGUGUGGAUACUUGUGCGGGGGAAGAGGCGGCCUCAGGUCUAGGCUCUUUGGGGAGGGGACGCUUUCGAGGAGAGUUUGGAAGCCGACUUCUGUCUGUUCUUAAUUUGGAGGGGUACCCACUCCAAGGAAAAGCUUUCCACGUUGACAGACAACUGCUGCGUUUUGAGACUCUUUCUUUGACUUGGUAAAACUUUGGAACGUGGGGUUUUCAAAUAGGCUGCGAGGGUUUUCUAUUUCGAUAGGGGAAAAUGCUAGUUUAACAUGAUUCUAUCCUUUUUCCUUUCCGUUGUGUGUUUUAAAGGUGUGUGCCCUCUUCCUGAUUCUGGAGAAAAAUGCCGGUCCGGAAGCAAGAUACCCAGAGAGCAUUGCACCUUUUGGAGGAAUAUCGUUCAAAACUAAGCCAAACUGAAGACAGACAGCUCAGAAGUUCCAUAGAACGGGUUAUUAACAUAUUUCAGAGCAACCUCUUUCAGGCUUUAAUAGAUAUUCAAGAAUUUUAUGAAGUGACCUUACUGGAUAAUCCAAAAUGUAUAGAUCGUUCAAAGCCGUCUGAACCAAUUCAACCUGUGAAUACUUGGGAGAUUUCCAGCCUUCCAAGCUCUACUGUGACUUCAGAGACACUGCCAAGCAGCCUUAGCCCUAGUGUAGAG
rnacentral:lncRNA from 1 species